UUUGUGGACUAACAAUGAACUGUGUGGAUUAAGGGUGAAUUGUGAUCUGUGUAAUAAUGAUCUGUGUCUGGUGAACUGUAGAUUCAGACCAGGCAACAAGACCAGGCAGACCAGGCAACAAGACCAGGCAGACCAGGCAACAAGACGAGGCAGACCAGGCAACAAGACCAGGCAGACCAGGCAACAAGACAGAGUUAUAGACCAGGCAACAAGACCAGGCAGACCAGGCAACAAGACCAGGCAGACCAGGCAACAAGACAGAGUUAUAGACCAGGCAACAAGACCAGGCAGACCAGGCAACAAGACCAGGCAGACCAGGCAACAAGACCAGGCAGACCAGGCAACAAGUCCAGGCAGACCAGGCAACAAGACGAGGCAGACCAGGCAACAAGACCAGGCAGACCAGGCAACAAGACAGAGUUAUAGACCAGGCAACAAGACCAGGCAGACCAGGCAACAAGACAUUACAUUUCCAAAUGACAAUGGUGUCAAGGAAAAACUGCCUGAGACAACAUGAGGGGAGCAGACUUAAAAUGGAACCUGUUCUCUCCUGGGUGACACCAGAAAGUGUGGUACAGUCAGUUCCUUUCUAAAACUGUACAUUGUAGAAUCAAAAGGUGCUAAUUGUAGUCAUUAUCCAUUCAGUGA